rnacentral:lncRNA from 1 species
UUUAAAAAUUUAAAAGACUGUAUCUUUUGGGGACGGGUCGUUACAUUACAUGUAUCUCUAUAACUUGCUUUAUACCUCUCAUUGUAUUCAUCAAUUCAAGUAAAAUCUUGGAAAUGACAUAGGCAUUUUUUUUUUUCGUUUGACCCUUUCGAGCCGACCCUUGUUAUUAUUUUCCCUAGUUAGCCCUGUUGAACCUUUAUGUGAGCCUUUUAUUUAUUUAUUUAUUGUUUUUUUUUUUAUUUCUUUAACCUAAAUUUUCCCUACCUAGCCUUGUAAAGAAUUUCCUACCCGUCUAAAAGCUUGUAGAGUAAUUUGUUUCUUAAGAGGAGAGAAUGCCAAGUCUUGGGCUUAAGCACUUAUAAUAGACAAUAAAAAAAUGUUGACAAGAAAAAAAAAGUUGAUGAGAAAAAAAAAAUGAAAAGAAAAAAAAAACUGUUGUACGCUGUAUCUAAAAAAGAAAAAGUGAGUUAAUAUAUAUAUAAACUAGCACACAAAUUAAACUCUAUUAAAAUAGUUGUAGUACGCGUAAGUAGGGAUCGUUAUAGGCUGGGGAUCAACUAGGGAUGCUAAUCAACACAAACUGCACUUAAAAAUUGAAAAUUAGACUCAAACAACUCAAAACAAGCUAAACUAACUCAAAACACACAAACUAAGUUGAAUUGACUCAAAACAAUAACUAGAUAGCAAUUUGGAAGAAAAUUGAACUCAAAAGAUUCAAAACAAUGUAAAACAGCCAAUCUAGACAGAUUCUAACCUAAGAACACAAAAUAGAAAGGGGGUUUGUUUUGGAUGGAUUUAAGACUAAAAACAAACAGAUUUAAAGACUCAAAAUACUUUGAACGAAAUUGGUGAAUUUAGGAUGAAUAACUAGUUAGAGGGACGUUCUCCACACAUGACACACAUGCAUACAAAUCGAUUUCCAGUUAUUCUUUCUAUAAACCAUGAAUGACAAUGCCCCAAAUUAAUCAUGAGAAGCACAAAUUAACUUUCAGAUUUUUCUAAAUUCAUUGAAUUGGACUUAGCGACGCAACCAAAUUAUUCUUGUCAAGUUCCCUACAUGAAUUGCAUAAUAGAGAUACAUAUCAAAGAUCAUUAAGUUUUGUGAAAAUCGUAAGCAUUGACAAGGCAUUCGUAACUAUGAACUGCAUGAUACUCCUGCCAAGAAUUCACUUAACACAAUCAUGACUAGUGACUUUUACUACUUGUGAAUAUAAGUUCAUAACGAUUAGGUGAAAUUCCCUUAUAUCCUAGCAUCACAUUCAUGCAUGCAAACUAAGUAUGCAUCCUCAAUCAACACACAAGAAUAAGUUAUCAAUAAAAAAGAUAAGUAAAUUGCAUUCACAAUUUAUGAAAUCAUAAUUGGAUGUAAUCAAUUCAUAUCACAUAUAUGUUCAUGGUUUCGAAUUCUCCUCUAACUAAAACAAAAUUAGUUCCACAUGGUCAUCAUAACUGAAAACCAAAUUAAACCAAACAUUGGACUAAAACUAAGGAUAGAAAGAACCCAGAAAUACUCCAGCACUCCAAUGGCAGAUUGGGCACAAUCCUUGGGUGCUAGGGCAUGACACAAGCUCUCCUUCUCCUUGCAAGCACGUCACAAGCCUCCAAACUCCUUCAGAAACCUGCGGCACUCAUGUAUUUUUCUCUCUGCUUUCUCUAUUGUGUGUGGUGCCAAAAUAAGGCCAGAAAAUAUGUAUUUAUAGGCUAGGGUUUCAGCACAAAAGUUGUGGAGGAGAAGGAUUACACAAUCCUAAGGAAAAAAGGACUAGGAAAUUCGCACAAAGCUUCUAGAAAGGGAUAUUUGGCAGAUUUCUAGAAGCUAAAGGAUAAAAGGUGCGGCACCACUUAGGAUUAGGAAUAGGGCUUCUAGAAAGGGGUAUUUAGGUGAUUUACUAUGCAAUUGAUCCCCCUUUGCAACUGGAAUUAAGGUAGGAAAAGAUUAGGUUAGGACAAGAUAAGAUAAGGUUAGUUUGGAUAAGAUAAGGUUGGAUAAUGUUUUGGAUAAUGUUUCUUCCUUUUAGCUGAUUCCUUAUCUUCUUUGUCUUGACUUUAUUUUCUUCAUCUCUUCAACAUAUUCCUAGCCUCUAGAACUUCAAAAACGUCCUUCCACCUUGCUUCAUACAUGUGCUAUCCAUUCUUGGCCCAAAACUGCUCCAAAAUGCUCCAAAUUGCACUUUCUUGCCAACUUUGUCAUUUGGACCUACAAACACACAAAAAUAGCUUAAAAUACUCUAAUAAGUAGAAACUAACUAUGAAAAUGCAAGAAAAGAAGCUAACUAAGUCGCAUAAAUAUGCUCCUAUCAAAUUGCCCCACACUUAGCUUUUGCUAGUCCUCAAGCAAAACAAAACAAACAAAACAUAACCUAAACCUUCCAAAAUUUGCCUCAGGGAUUUCCAAUGAAACAUGACACAUUAAAAAUCACUACUCCCACAGAUUUUAGCUAUCCUUACCCUCGAGCUUGUACUUAAUCGCAGUCACCAUGCACUAGCUCGCAUUUAAUCAAUUAAAACAAUGUUUUGAAUGUAGUAACAUGCCUUAGAGAAUUCCCUCAAUUCCUCACUGGAUAUACUCUCUAUUCUCACUCAGUUUUUCUGACUACACUCCCUAUACUAGGAAUACGUGAGAAGAUUGAUGUAUACAUGUAGACUAGCCACUCACAUACGUUAUAAUCAAAGAAGGCACUUUUUGGAAUUAUUAAUGCAUGUAUAUAUAUGAUCUCAUGAACAGAAUGCCACUACUUAGAAGCGAGAACUAGGGAUUCCAUAUGCUCGUACCAAUUUCAAACUCCACAUAUUGAAACACAUAACAACCAAGAUAAAGUCAAAGGGUUGUAAUGGGGCUAAGGGUAUUGGCUAACAAAGAAAGGUCAAGGAUAAACAAAGGUUCUUAAAGCCAUAGUAAGCAAAAUAAUGAAUCUGACACUUAGAAUUCACUUUUGAAUGCAGCAACUAACUUUAAACACCCAUGGGAGAUUCACAAAACACUUAGGGCCAGAUUCAAUCUUUUGGACCCUUUCUUCAACAACCAAUACUUGUGAGCUCAUUCUCACUUAUUUUGAACUCUUUUUCUUUCUUUUCUUAACUUCUUCUUCUUUUUUUUCGUUGGAAAUAACCUUCCCCCACACUUGUUUUUUGCAAAAUGUUGAUCAAAAGGAAUUCCCUCUAAGUCAUGCUCCACUAUACUUUAAGAACAAGGGUAUGUAUAAUCCUAUUCUAGGCUAGGUAAGGAUAAUGUGGCUAACAAAGAAAAUAGGCUAAUUAAGGCUCAACGGGGUUAAACCUACAAUGCAUAUGCAAGGGAUUAAGCCUUUUUGGCUCUGGUGGUAACUAAACAACUUCGUCUUAUUAUAUGUUAUGCACUCAAUUUUAAGCUUUGAAUGAAAUGGGCAUGAGUUCUAGUAUUUGGAACUAAAAUGAUGAAAACGCAUUCUAAGUAGCAACCAAGCAAAGAAAUAAUGAGAUCAUGCAAUGACUUUAGAAAAAUGGAAUUCACAGAUUAAUAACUCACCAAACAAAGUAUAGGCUCAAGUCUCUCAGGGUUGUAGUGUUAGUUUGAGUUCCUUCCUUCAAGCAUGUUACAAAAACUGAUUUUUUUCCUUUAUGGUUAUAUGUAAAUUCGUUAAUGACAACUACAACUAAGCAUUAACCAAAGAGCAUAUCAAACUUCCACCCAUGUUUGUAACUUUCUUUAACAAUCACGCAAUUAAAAACCAAAUCCUCAUCAUUGUGUUGGAAGUUACCGUAAGACCAAAACACACAAAAAUGACUCUUUUUGGGUUUUUCAAAACUUUUUCUAAUGUUUUUUUUCAAAUUUUCGUAUUUUUCUUUCAAAACACAUUAAAACAGUUCAAAACACACUAAAAACACUUAAAAACAGUGAGAAACAACUCUAGAGGUGCUAGGUGGUAAAAUCCCACGAAAUAAUGAAAAACACUUUGUUUACCCCACCACACUUAAACCAAACAUUGUCCUCAAUGUUUCAAACAUAGACUAACACGCAAGCAAGCAAACAACACAACUAACAAACAUGACAAUUAUGGCAAAGUAAAAGCAAUAAAGAGUAGAGUUUAAGAAUGCAAAUCUGGUUAUGGAGCCGGAGAUUCUUAGGCCUUCUUUAUUUGAACGCAUGGGUUGCCUCUCAAGAAGCGCUUGCUUUAACGUCUUCCAGCCGGACGGUACCUCCAUUUAAGCUUCACGAGAGCCCACAGCAUGGAGGGGUACAUCCUCCACGACAUGCUCCUUAAAACUUCCAUGCAUUGGAUCUAUGAACGGAAGGGGAUAGUGAUCCUUCCUGAUUGUGGCAUUUAGCUUUGUAAAGUCAAUGUAAACGCUCCCACCAUCUUGGAUUCGAUUGGGCACCUAAACCAAAGAAGGUAACAACCUAUUAGUUGAAAUGGGAAUUGGAAUUGGAAUACGUGGCUUACCAAUAUAUUAUGACGAAGGCUCAAAAGUAGCAGCACUGUCAA